rnacentral:rRNA from 1 species
CUGCCUGGUAGUGGGGGAUAACGUCCGGAAACGGACGCUAAUACCGCAUACGUCCUACGGGAGAAAGCAGGGGACCUUCGGGCCUUGCGCUAUCAUAUGAGCCUAGGUCGGAUUAGCUAGUUGGUGGGGUAAUGGCUCACCAAGGCGACGAUCCGUAACUGGUCUGAGAGGAUGAUCAGUCACACUGGAACUGAGACACGGUCCAGACUCCUACGGGAGGCAGCAGUGGGGAAUAUUGGACAAUGGGCGAAAGCCUGAUCCAGCCAUGCCGCGUGUGUGAAGAAGGUCUUCGGAUUGUAAAGCACUUUAAGUUGGGAGGAAGGGCAGUAAAUUAAUACUUUGCUGUUUUGACGUUACCGACAGAAUAAGCACCGGCUAACUCUGUGCCAGCAGCCGCGGUAAUACAGAGGGUGCAAGCGUUAAUCGGAAUUACUGGGCGUAAAGCGCGCGUAGGUGGUUCGUUAAGUUGGAUGUGAAAUCCCCGGGGCUCAACCUGGGAACUGCAUUUCAAAAACUGACGAGCUAGAGUAUGG